rnacentral:hammerhead_ribozyme from 2 species
CAUUGGUCGGGAGUUGAGGCCACUUCCCUGAUGAGUCCAUGGCAGGACGAAACCUAUG